rnacentral:misc_RNA from 1 species
GAUGAAUGCUGUUGGAGUGUGUGGCUUACAGCUCUACCAUUAUGGAGAGACAGUGUCCAUACCGUUCUUCACUGAGACCUGGAGGCCGGAUAGUUUCUAUGAGAAGAUUAGAGAAAACCGAAAGCUUGGACUACACACACUCUGCUUGUUAGAUAUACGAGUGAAAGAACCAACCAUCGAGUCUCUUUGCAGAGGAAAGAAGCAGUAUGAACCUCCCAGAUUUAUGACAGUUAACACAGCAAUUGAGCAGCUCUUAGAGGUUGAAGAAGCCCGUGGAGAAUUUGUAUACGGUGAAAAUACAAUCUGUGUUGGUUUUGCACGGCUGGGGAGUGAAGACCAAAAGGUGGUUGCUGGUUCAAUGAAGCAACUUCUAACAGUCGACUUUGGGGCGCCAUUGCAUUGCUUAGUCAUAGUUGGCAAAACACACCCUGUUGAA